rnacentral:rRNA from 1 species
CCCUGGUAGUCCACGCCCUAAACGAUGUACACUAGUUGUUGGGGUGCUAGUCAUCUCAGUAAUGCAGCUAACGCAUUAAGUGUACCGCCUGGGGAGUACGGUCGCAAGAUUAAAACUCAAAGGAAUAGACGGGGACCCGCACAAGCGGUGGAGCAUGUGGUUUAAUUCGAAGAUACGCGAAGAACCUUACCUGGGCUUGAUAUCCUAAGAACCUUUUAGAGAUAAGAGGGUGCUAGCUUGCUAGAACUUAGAGACAGGUGCUGCACGGCUGUCGUCAGCUCGUGUCGUGAGAUGUUGGGUUAAGUCCCGCAACGAGCGCAACCCACGUAUUUAGUUGCUAACGGUUCGGCCGAGCACUCUAAAUAGACUGCCUUCGUAAGGAGGAGGAAGGUGUGGACGACGUCAAGUCAUCAUGGCCCUUAUGCCCAGGGCGACACACGUGCUACAAUGGCAUAUACAAUGAGACGCAAUACCGCGAGGUGGAGCAAAUCUAUAAAAUAUGUCCCAGUUCGGAUUGUUCUCUGCAACUCGAGAGCAUGAAGCCGGAAUCGCUAGUAAUCGUAGAUCAGCCAUGCUACGGUGAAUACGUUCCCGGGUCUUGUACUCACCGCCCGUCACACCAUGGGAGUUGAUUUCACUCGAAGCCGGAAUACUAAACUAGUUACCGUCCACAGUGGAAUCAGCGACUGGGGUGAAGUCGUAACAAGGUAACCGUAGGAGAACCUGCGGUUGGAUCACCUCCUUUCUA